UUGAUGCCUAGGGAGAAGCAGCAGAGGCUCAGGGAGCAGCACCCCUCCUAGGAGGAGCCCUGUUCUUCACAUUCAGCUCCACUAUUCUGGGUGCAGGUCACAGGAGGAGCAUAGAUGUGUCCCCUGAACCUGCAGCCAAGCAAGUGGCUUGGGGUUCCUAGUGCUCAGCAAUAGGGACCUUGCUAUCACACCUGAAUUUGAGCCCCAGCUUUGGCAACUCCCAGCUGUGUGACCCUGGGCAAGGUACCCAGGCUCUCUGGGCUUCCAUUCUCCUCAUCUAUCAAUUGGGUUUAUGGUGAGGAUCAAGUGAGAUAGUGCUGUGAAUGUCUAGGCCCAGCAUUCCCAUUCCGCAGAGUGAGCACUCAAUGAGAGCCGUCACGACUACUGUAUAAGUUCAACAGAUUUGAGUUCUUGGGGUUAACAUAGGGGCAGAACAGGAAGGAGAGUGAUCCCUGCUCUCAGAGAACGAACAGACAUAGACAGGUGAGCAGACAGCGCGACAGGCGAGAAAUAAACACCGACCUGAAUCUAGAGGAGUGGCCCCCACCCCACCCCCGACUGCUCCGGGGCCUUCCAUGUAGCCUGGGAGCUGGGCAAGAGGAGGAUCUGGCUGGGGAGACAGAGCAGGGGCACGGACUACGGGCAGCACCCAGGACCAGACCGCGGCCAACGAUUCACACAGGAAAUAGCGAGUGGGAGCCGGGGCCUCCCAGAGAAGCACCGAGUCAGGGCAGGACGUGGAGUCGAUGCUUCACCCCACAGCAGAGGCAGUCAGUGGCAAAGACACAGGCUGCGGGACAGAGGAAGAGGCCCCGGGAGACUGCAGACCGGGCUGCUGUGAUCUCCACGCUACGUCCCCUCGAAACGCUCUACCCCCAAGGAGAAGGCCCUGAGAGGCAGUGCCUUGGGACGUGACAGAUGGGGUCACAGUCACAAUCAAGGAGGCACUGGAGAGCUCCCCUGGCACCCCCCACCCCCCCCCACACACACACACGGUGCAAGGCUAUGGGGAGAGGGUGCCUUCCGGAGGAGCUGGCCCUCACCGGCACCGAAGGUGCUGCCCACGUGCAGGAGGAACUGUGGUCUAGGGACAUGUGGAUGGAUGAGAACUACGGGUCAGGUGCGCGGCAAGCACCCAGCACGGUUCAGCCCUUGUCAUUACACAGUUCAGAGGUGAGACCGUGAGGAUCCCAACGAGGGUGGAGGAGACAGCGGUGCGGAGACAGCAGGAGACUGGCAGCUGGGGCUGGGGACCAGUGAAGCUCCUGCUGCCAAAGCCUCUGACUACACUCGGUGUACCAGGCAGUCCUGGCCUCUGUCCUAAGGCUUCCUCAGGCGCCCACAGGACUCCCAGCACCGCAGGGUCUGACCUGCCCUCAGGCUGAGCUCCUGUAAAGGGUUCGCUGGGAAAGCCGUCUGGUCCUGGGACAUUUGGGGACCUUUGUUACUCUUCAGUCUCCACCUGUUGCACGUGGGUCUACGUAGACUUGUCAUUUCUUGUCAGAAAACAAAAGUGAAAAGAUGAUCUCGCUGCCAGCUCUAGCUGUCCUUUACAAGUUAUGGGGCUGGAUGAUCGAGUGGGGAUCACAAGGGCAGCAAGUGGGCCGAGAGCUGACUCCAGCCACAGGAGGCCCCCCACCACGGCUGCAUCUGUGAAGAUCCCCAGGUGCUGACCAGCUGGACCGUGCCUGGGCAGCUCCUCAGUCUGUGAACACACCUGGCUGCACCUCCACAGUGGCGGUGUCCAUGUCCGAGGCCCCCUGGCUGUCGCUGACUCUCAAGUGGAAAGUGUAGACCCCCUCCACCAGAUUGGUGAGCUGCAGGGCCACACUGUGGUCAGAGCCAUCGAUGACAUCCUGUGAAAUAACAGGAUGCACACGGCAGCUGUCAACCUCGGGUUUCUGAUCCCAAGCCUGAGCACCCUCACCCACGAGACGAGAUGGGUCAGGCUGGGGAGGGAGCAUCCCUCGGCUCCCCUCCCCACACAGCUCCAGGGCACAAAGUCCAAGGCAGGAUUUCCAGGAAUUAGCAAAUGAGUGAUUCUGUCCAACAGAGGGAAAGACCCAAACCAGGGCGAGGACCCCAGGGGCUAGGCCUGGGUUUCACGGGUCUUAUUUAACAUAUCUGCUUUAUAACACUCUCAUCUUGGGCUCCCUUCCGGCACAACACGGUCUCCUCAAACUGAAACCCUGGGAGAAAGGGAGGUCAUUGUGGGCCUCCAUGGUCCGAAGGAUUAGAGCAGACUCUCCAGAUUCCCAGCUCUGAACUUGCUGAUGGGAAAGGAUGCACAAGAAGGUAGGGACUCGGAGGAGAGGAAGAGAAGCCCAGGAGACCCACCACCAGCUGGGCAGAGGGCAUUCCAGAGGGACUGGGGAAAUGUGGAGCGCUCAGUCCCUCCCUGUGACCACGCCUUCAGUACUUCUCCCAGAGAAGGUUUGCAGUCCCUGGCAAGGGCAGGAAGGAAGAUCCCCAACCCUAAGCCCAGGAGGCACAGCGGGCUGUGGGAAAGUGCCCCAGGAGCUGCACCCUGGACGGUUUUGUAGGCAGAGGGACGAGCUAGCUGACCUGAGCCAAGGCUCUCUCCACCUCUGCGCUCACUCUCCUCCCCUGCGGAGGGGAUCAGCCAUCCCGACUUGUGACAUGUCUGAUAUGACAUAAGGAAGAGGAAGAAUCUACUUGGACCAAAACAGCAAUGACAGGGAAGAGCAAAAAGAUUCCCUCAAGAGACUCGGCUUCCAAGUGCUCCAGGCUCUGCUCUGCUACCCAGCCAGAGUGUGGUCAGGGAAGGGCGGAAAGGAUUUCAGGAUCUAACAGCAGCUCUGACCUCCAGGCCCUGGGACAUGCAAACUUAGACCAAGCCCCUUACCGGGGAGAUGAGACCAUGAUAUGAACACUGCUACAGACUGACUGUGUCCCCCAAACCUCACAUGUGGAAGCCCUAACCACCAGUGUGACCAAAGGCAGGACCCAUAAGGAGGUAAUCAAGGUGAAAGGAGGUCCUAGGGUGGGGCCCUGAUUAGGUAUGAUCAGUGUCCUUCUGAGAAGAGACACAGGGCUUGUGCCUCCCCUCCUCGCUCCCUGCCAUGUGAAGACACAGCGAGAAGGCAGUUGUGGACCAGCCAGCAAGAGGCCUGAGCAGAACCCGAACUGGCCGGCGCCUCAGUCUCACCUUCCCACCCUCCAGAGCAGCAGGAAGUGGAGUCCUGUUGGCCAAGCCACCGGGCCCCAGUGUGCUGCUGUAGCAGCCCGAGCAACUGGCACAGACACAUCACAAACAGGCACUCAGCUGGCAUUCAAGGUACUCACCCCCACAGCAGGACUCUGGCCAUCCCGCACCCACAGAUAGGACACAAUGCCUUGGUCGUCGGUAGACCUUGAACCAUCCAAAGUAAUGGAAUUAUUGGGAAGGACGAGAACAUGCCUGCCACCAGCCCGGGCUCUGGGAGGACUGUUACUUUCUAUGUCAAGUACAGCAAAAAAUAAGCAAAGACAUCGAUUUAAAAUGCUGGUGAUAGAAAGCAGGUCAUAAAAUACCCACAAGUGUUCCCUCUUGCAGAGAUGCAGCUUUUAAAAACUUAAAAGACAUUAUUUUCUGCCCCAAAUACCUGCAAGACAAUAUAUAGACUUUCUUACAACUCUGUGCUUAGCUGUUUAAGAUUGGGGUGAAAAGGGCAGGUGGCAGCCUGGACACUGAUGACUUUUCUAAUAUAUAUAAUAAUGUGUUACUUCUCUUUUUAAAAGGAGAGAAACAUUGAUCUUACAAUGUUCAGGGUCCAGAAAGUAAAAACAUUUUGAUUUAAAACACACUCUAGGGUUGGGUCAGUGGUAGAGGUCUUGCCCACUAUGUGCAAGACACGGCCAAGAAAUAAAAAUAAAAACAAAGCAAAUACACCCUGGGUCAUCUUUUACUGGUCCACACUGUCUGACUGCAGAAAUGUCUGGAUUUUUUAAUAUUAUCAAACUGGUAGAAAGUGAUCAGCCCCUCCCUCCUCUGAUGAGGUGUCAGAUAGAAAUGAGACAGCAUAGAGCCAUUUCUGAUUUGACACUCCAGGAAAGAGGGCCGGGGCACCAGCAGGGACGGGUGCCACCAGAGGCACAGGGCUGGUCUGGAGAGGAGGCGGCUGCAGGGCGAACCCCGCUUGUUCAGAGGGCUCCAGAGUCUCCUCCCCACAGGCAGCAGCAGAAAACAGGGUCAGAAAGUGUGAGGACGGCCUUGGGCCUGAGCCUAAGCAACUCCAUUUAAAAACUCCCACUUUGAAACCUGCGGUCUCACCAGGUGCCUACGGAGCCCUCCAGUAUGGUCAUGAGGCACAGCCCUGACAUGAACGAGCCACUUCCCCCCACCCUGACAAGCUCAGCGCGAAGUCUCUGUCAUGUUGUCCUUGCCCCAGUAAGGGGGAGAGGCAAGAGAAUCAGGGUGAGGACCUCCAGACCAGAUGCCUUAAUACCAGGGCAAAUGACAUCACUGAGAAACCCGGUGGCAGAAUUGAAAGGGUGGUCGGAUGCCCCCAAAUGUAGUCUAGGUGAUGGAGCAAAUGAGCAGACGUUCAGCCAGCCGACACUGAUGCCCUCAGGCUGGAGAGCCUGGUGAGGACCUGGACUCACAUCCCAGCUCUUCUCAUCCGCCUGAUCCUCUGCAUUGUUCCCAUCACUCUCAAACUCUACAGCAGCCUCCUGACUCUGGUGAGAAAAGGACUUCUCCCCAUGACCGCCUCCUCAGCCAGCCGUCAGCUCCACCCCAGGAGAAGCCUGCCUCGGUUCCUGAUCUGAUGUCAGGAAAAAGUGAGUGUGCAUCUGCUGGACUUGCGGCUUAAGGCUGGAGACUUUUGAUCUGACACUUGAACUUGGCUUGCAGAGGGAAUGUCUGUCAUGAGCCUGUCAUGAUUAAGUGUGUUUGCAGUGCUUAGAAUUAAUUAGUCUAGAAUUGUUUGCUGUAAAUUGAUUAUGUCUAUGCAGUGCCCAGCAUUAAGGAUUGUCCUUUUCUUGAUUAAGAACCUUUAGAAUGAAAUUGUAUUGAGUGAUUUGAGUGAAUAAAGCAUCGAAAGGGCAGAA